GUUGACCUCGGAUCAGGUAGGAAUACCCGCUGAACUUAAGCAUAUCAAUAAGCGGAGGAAAAGAAACCAACAGGGAUUGCCUUAGUAACGGCGAGUGAAGCGGCAAUAGCUCAAAUUUGAAAUCUGGCGCUUGCGUCCGAGUUGUAAUUUGUAGAGGAUGAUUUUGGUUAGGUACCUUUCGAGUUCCUUGGAACAGGACGCCUUAGAGGGUGAGAGCCCCGUACGAUUGGAUGCCGAGCCUCUGUAAAUCUCCUUCGACGAGUCGAGUAGUUUGGGAAUGCUGCUCUAAAUGGGAGGUAAAUUUCUUCUAAAGCUAAAUACCGGCCAGAGACCGAUAGCGCACAAGUAGAGUGAUCGAAAGAUGAAAAGCACUUUGAAAAGAGGGUUAAAUAGCACGUGAAAUUGUUGAAAGGGAAGGAUUUAUGACCAGACUUUUUCUAGGAGAAUCAUCCGGUGUUCUCACCGGUGCACUUCUUUUAGUUUAGGCCAGCAUCGACUUUCGGCGGUGGAUAAAAGCUUUAGGAAUGUGGCUUCCCUCGGGAAGUGUUAUAGCCUAUUGUAUAAUACACUGCUGGGGGUCGAGGUACGCGCUUCUGCAAGGAUGCUGGCGUAAUGGUUAUCAAUCACCCGUCUUGAAACACGGACCAAGGAGUCGAACAUUUGUGCGAGUGUUUGGGUGUUAAACCCUCACGCGUAAUGAAAGUGAACGGAGGUGAGAGCCCUUACGGGUGCAUCAUCGACCGAUCCUGAUGUUUUCGGAUGGAUUUGAGUAAGAGCAUAAAUGUUCGGACCCGAAAGAUGGUGAACUAUGCGUGGAUAGGGUGAAGCCAGAGGAAACUCUGGUGGAGGCUCGCAGCGGUUCUGACGUGCAAAUCGAUCGUCAAAUCUGCGCAUGGGGGCGAAAGACUAAUCGAACCAUCUAGUAGCUGGUUACCGCC
rnacentral:rRNA from 1 species